rnacentral:rRNA from 1 species
GACAGAGGUGCCGAGCGUUAGGCGGAAUCACUGGGCUUAAAGCGUGUGUAGGCGGGCGGGCAAGUACCUUGUGAAAUCCCACGGCUCAACCGUGGAACGGCUGGGGAUACUGCCUGUCUUGAGCCAACUAGGGGCGAGCGGAACAGACGGUGGAGCGGUGAAAUGCGUAGAUAUCAGGAGGAACACCGGUGGUGUAGACGGCUCUCUGGACCGUAACUGACGCUGAGGCACGAAAGCGUGGGUAGCAAACAGG